rnacentral:rRNA from 1 species
UACAUGGGGUGCAAACGUUGCUCGGAAUUAUUGGGCGUAAAGCGCACGUAGGUGGUCUGUUAUGUCAGAUGUGAAAGCCCUCGGCUUAACUGAGGAAGUGCACCUGAAACUGGCAGGCUUGAGUACGAAAGAGGGUCGCGGAAUUCCCGGUGUAGAGGUGAAAUUCGUAGAUAUCGGGAGGAACACCGGUGGCGAAGGCGGCGACCUGGGACAAUACUGACGCUGAGGUGCGAAAGCGUGGGGAGCAAACAGG